AUUAUCAGUUAUAUAGUGAUAUCAAUUUGAGUGUUAUAUCAAAAUUAUCGACAAACUCAGACAUUAUGUUAAACGAUAAAUUGCACCUAUAUUUCAAUAAAUUUAAUACGGACCAAAACAGACAGAUACAACAAAACGAAAAACAGCUAUAGAGCCACUGAUGCAUUGUGAUACAUAUUGCCCACAAGUAUUAAAGUUCUACUUGUU